AUUGAACGCUGGCGGCAGGCCUAACACAUGCAAGUCGAACGAGUGGCGGACGGGUGAGUAAUGUCUGGGAAACUGCCUGAUGGAGGGGGAUAACUACUGGAAACGGUAGCUAAUACCGCAUACAAUCGAAUGGGCCAAUGUGGGUUUAGCUAGUUGGGGGGGUAACGGCCCACCUAGGCGACGAUCCCUAGCUGGUCUGAGAGGAUGACCAGCCACACUGGAACUGAGACACGGUCCAGACUCCUACGGGAGGCAGCAGUGGGGAAUAUUGCACAAUGGGCGAAAGCCUGAUGCAGCCAUGCCGCGUGUAUGAAGAAGGCCUUCGGGUUGUAAAGUACUUUCAGCGGGGAGGCGUUACCCGCAGAAGAAGCACCGGCUAACUCCGUGCCAGCAGCCGCGGUAAUUC
rnacentral:rRNA from 1 species